AUUAUUUAUAGAGAUGGUGCUCUCUAUAACUGCCAGGGCUGGCUGAUGGCGCCUGUUAUAUA
rnacentral:ncRNA from 2 species